UGCUAGACUUGGUAGUUUUGUGUAGAAGGUGAGGCGUCGGUCUGAAAAAGGAGGGGUGGUAGGGCAUGGAAAGGAGAAGGAAGGGCUAGGUGAGGAGGGGAGUGCGACGAGAGUAUGAGACUGGAUGGGUUCGAGGUAAGGUCAAGGUUAGGUUUGGGUUGCUCAAAGAUUUUAGAAGAGGGCAUGAGGUGGCGGCGGCACGGGAUCUCGACGGCGGCACGGCUCGAUUCGAAGUGGCGGCCGCGGAGUGUGGGGGGUUGAGGAAGCGGAGAGUGCGCGAAGCGGAGGUAGCGGCAGGAGCAAGAUGGGGUAGCGCAGCGGCGACUGAGGUGGGGGCGGACGUAUAACCUGUAGCCAAAAACUCUAGGCGGGACCGGAGGAGCCGCCGGCUCUCCUCGGCGAGGCCCGAGCCCAGUCCAAAGGCCAUGGAGUGGCCUCGGCGGUGGCCCACCACCCUGGCCACCUACCAGUACCCUCGGUCGCCGAGGUUCGAGCUCUUCCGGGAGCCGCUGGUCAAGGGACUUCCGCUCGCGAUGAAGCCGGAGCUCUUGAAGCCGUUGUGGACGAUGACGUUGUCACAUGAGGUCCGUGAAAUAAAAACGUGAGGUAAGUCCCUCGUCGAUGACCUUAUAAUAUACUUAUUAUUUUUAGGCCCUCUACGUCUCCUUUUAGAAAACUGAACAAACCGUCUAGAAAAGUACGUCCAUUCAGUUAGUUUCUUUUUCUGUCCGCAAUAACGAGGUUUUGCAAAACAGGUUUCUCACUUCUUUGUUUUACUUAAUAAAGCGUCGAUGUACGUGGUCCUACGAGUACUCAAGAAUUUAAAAGACAACUUACUCGAACAACUAUAAGACCUCUUUCUCAGGUCACGACGCUUCCUGAGUGGGGUUAGUAGUAGAGGACUUUUUCAAGGUUUACCCGGUCAAGUUGGAAACCGGUUACCUCAAUUUUUUCUUGGUGGACAAUGGAACCAGGUAUUCUUAAAGGUCCCGUAUGACUGGUUACUUUGGUUUACGAAUUCUACACUCUGUCAUUGACGUUCCCUGCUUUGCAAAAAACUAGACUCACAACUGUAGCUCGUCUUAUCAAGGUAAUGUUCGACGGACUUUUUAAAGUCGAGGUGACUCUGAAAUUUACGGCUCCUGUUUAAGAAGACACUGUUUACAACGUCAAACGUUCUUCGUGUCUUCUCUUACUUCUAGUUCUUCCGAGGGGUAUAUAACCACUAGGUGGAUUUCGCGAAAUUCAUGUAACUCGUCGAACCCGCCAUAUUCUUCGAAAGCAUAGCCCAACAGAAGGGGUACCUCGACUUCUAGUCGUCAUGUAGACUACUACACCUAUGACUUAUGAGAGAGAAACGACACCACCAGGUACAACCUUCGCCGGGGUUAGUACCGGUAAUACAUUCGGAGCAUUUUUCGGUGUUGGUGACCAACAAGAAGCUACUACUUUUGCACCUCUACCAACUUCUCAGUUGGGACGUUUGUAAGAAGCCAAGAAGCGUGCUUAUGAGUCCGUUGUGUCUAGUACCUAUGUAGAACAAAAUGCUCCCGGAACCACGCUUCUCAAAUCCAACUAAAAGGGACAACAAAAAGAAAAGAGAAAGAAACCUCGUACGUUCAAAUGACAACAUACAUGUGUCGAUAAAGUGGUGGAGGUACCCUUUAACAAUUAGAGUCUCUAACACUCAUACUUGGACUCCUUUCGGUCUAAAAAACACCAAGAUCACAUGUCGCCUUUUACCUUGGAACGAGGUCACUACUACUUUAUUCCGCGUUCAGUAUUUCAUGCGAGCUGAUAUGAAGGGUGGCUGUAAGAAUGCUUCCUUACAUUGUUACGUAACCCAAGACAUACAACUAAGAUUAAACUCUAAAAAUACCUGAUCUAAAUCGGUAGACUACACGAUCGUCACGGGAAGUUCCGAACCUUAGUAUACAGGUCAAUCUUAAUGUUAUACCACAUACGAACUGAAUACUACCAACUUAACUAAAUCCCUCAAACCGAUAACUCCAAUGAAAACUUAAGUACAUAGGGUACACAAAGAGGUCAAUACACCUACGUUUUUUAUAAGCAUCCUUUACAUGCAGAGUAAAAACAACUC
rnacentral:rRNA from 1 species